rnacentral:rRNA from 1 species
UACGAAGGGGGCUAGCGUUGUUCGGAUUUACUGGGCGUAAAGCGCGUGUAGGCGGAUCGUUAAGUCGGGGGUGAAAGCCCAGAGCUCAACUCUGGAAUUGCCUUCGAUACUGGCGGUCUGGAGCAGGGAAGAGGCGAGUGGAAUUCCGAGUGUAGAGGUGAAAUUCGGAGAUAUUUGGAGGAACACCAGUGGCGAAGGCGGCUCGCUGGUCUCUUGCCGACGCUGAGGCGCGAAAGCGUGGGGAGCAAACAGG